UGGGGAAUAUUGCGCAAUGGACGAAAGUCUGACGCAGCGACGCCGCGUGAGGGAUGAAGGUCUUUGGAUCGUAAACCUCUGUCGGGAGGGAAGAAGGCGCAUGGUGCCAAUCAGCCAUGCGUUGACGGUACCUCCAAAGGAAGCGCCGGCUAACUCCGUGCCAGCAGCCGCGGUAAUACGGAGGGCGCAAGCGUUAAUCGGAAUUACUGGGCGUAAAGCGCGCGUAGGCUGUUACGCAAGUCAGGGGUGAAAGCCCGCGGCUCAACCGCGGAACUGCCCUUGAAACUGCGCGACUUGAAUCCGGGAGAGGGUGGCGGAAUUCCAGGUGUAGGAGUGAAAUCCGUAGAUAUCUGGAGGAACACCAGUGGCGAAGGCGGCCACCUGGACCGGUAUUGACGCUGAGGCGCGAAAGCGUGGGGAGCAAACAGG
rnacentral:rRNA from 1 species